GUCUUCGUGGCUCAGUUGGCUAGAGCGUUGGUCUCAUAUUCAAUAUGAUCCAAUCCCAGAUUGGGUAAUCCAAAGGUCGUGAGUUCGAGCCUCACCGAGGACA
rnacentral:tRNA from 1 species